rnacentral:tRNA from 1 species
GACUCGAACCGUAGACCUUCUCGGUGUAAACGAGGUGCUCUACCUAACUGAGCUAUAGCCCU